rnacentral:misc_RNA from 1 species
GAUGAAGAACGCAGCGAAAUGCGAUAAGUAAUGUGAAUUGCAGAAUUCAGUGAAUCAUCGAAUCUUUGAACGCACAUUGCGCCCGCCAGUAUUCUGGCGGGCAUGCCUGUUCGAGCGUCAUUUCAACCAUCAAGCCACAGGCUUGUGUUGGGGACCUGCGGCUGCCGCAGGCCCUGAAAACCAGUGGCGGGCUCGCUGUCACACCGGGCGUAGUAGAUUUUAUCUCGCUCAGGGCGUGCUGCGGGUUCCGGCCGUUAAAAAGCCUUUUUUACCCAAGGUUGACCUCGGAUCAGGUAGGAAGACCCGCUGAACUUAAGCAUAUCAAUAAGCGGAGGA